GCUCUGGAGAGCUUCAGUGGGAACGCCGUUCCUUCUGAACGCCGAAGGUGUAAGGCGGCAGACGCCGCCGAUCUCUCAGGCAAAAGGACAGAGCA
rnacentral:ncRNA from 1 species